GCGGGGCGGGGCGCGCGGCGGAGCCUCCCCGCGCUCUCGCGCUGCCCGGCGCGGCUCUUGUCAGUUAGCAACAAAAUGGCCGCGGCGGCAGCAGCUGUGCUCCCGAGGACGGCGGCGGCGGCGGCAGCAGCGGAGGUGGCGUCCGAAGCGGCGGCGACGGCGGCAGCGCGGAGGAGCAGCGGGGGCCCGGCUCAGCAGCACUGAGCGGACGCCGAGAGCGAGCGGCGGAGAGCGGCCCCCACCCGCUGCCGCAGCCCGGCCCGAACCCCCGCCCCGGGGGCACCGCCGCUGCGUUCGCCCCCCUCUUGAGGGACUCCGCCGGAUCCUCCCCUCCCGCUGCUUCCUGCGGGGCGGCCCCGCGGCGCGGAUCCUCCCGGGAGGGCACUGCGAGCGCCGCUCCGGCGUCGUGCGGGGGGGUCCUCCGCAGGACCGUGCCCCGGGCCGCGCUUUCUUUCGUCGAUUUUAUUCUCCUGUUUUCAUUUGCACUUUUCACCUCCUCCGAUGCCCCUCCACGCGGACUGAACCCACCGGGACGCGGCUGAGCCCCUCCGGCCCCGGUUCGGAUCUCGCUGCAGCGCGGACCGUGUGCGGGAGGCACGGACUGAGCCGCGCUGCUCCGCGCUGCGCUCCGCCGGGAACCGCCGCUGCUCCGCGCUCCGUCGGUGCGUGUUCUCCUCCUCCUCCUCCUCCUCCUCCUUCUCUGUGCCGGGUUUUUUUUUUCUUUUCUUUUCCUUUUUUUUUUUUUUUCUUGAGGGGGUGUAGACAAACGACGACGACAACAACAAAAAAAAACUUAAUUUUUUAAUUAUUAUUUUUGGCCGCGUGAGAUUUUUUCGCAUCGAUUCGUGAAAUUACGGGUACAAUUACAGAAAGAGAGGAAAAAAAAAAGAGGGAGAAAAAAAAAAAACAAACAAAAACACCGCAACACAACAAACAACCUUUAAAAUAAGAAAGGAACGCGUCAGAGAGACCCCUCCAUCGCAGACGACAUUCCCUGCUCGUUUCCUCACAGCGAGACCGAACCGAAAGCUGCCAAAGAGCCCCGCACAGAGCAGACCACAAGGGAGAAAGAACAAGAAACACAAGAAGAGGAACAUUUGAUGGAAGAAAA